rnacentral:pre_miRNA from 16 species
CUAUUUUGAGUCCAAAGGGCAACAGCACCUGGCCGAUAUAAUGUAAUAUCACGAAUGACGAGAUAUUACAUGUCUCGGGUAGGAGCUGUUCAUGGACAAUAAAUGUCAUU